rnacentral:rRNA from 1 species
ACUGCUCAGUAACACGUGGACAACCUGCCCUUAGGUUGGGUAUAAACCCGGGAAACUGGGUAUAAUACCCGAUAGGUCUCGAUUGCUGGAAUGCAUCGAGAUUUAAAGCUCCGGCGCCUAAGGAUGGGUCUGCGGCCUAUCAGGUAGUAGUGGGUGUAGCGUACCUACUAGCCUACGACGGGUACGGGUUGUGAGAGCAAGAGCCCGGAGAUGGAUUCUGAGACACGAAUCCAGGCCCUACGGGGUGCAGCAGGCGCGAAAACUUUACAAUGCUGGCAACAGCGAUAAGGGAACCUCGAGUGCCAGGUUACAAAUCUGGCUGUCGAGAUGCCUAAAAAGCAUUUCAUAGCAAGGGCCGGGCAAGACCGGUGCCAGCCGCCGCGGUAACACCGGCGGCUCGAGUGGUAACCGUUAUUAUUGGGUCUAAAGGGUCUGUAGCCGGCCGGAUAAGUCUCUUGAGAAAUCUGGCAGCUUAACUGUCAGGCUUUCAGGAGAUGCUGUCUGGCUCGAGGCCGGGAGAGGUGAGAGGUACUUCAGGGGUAGGGGUGAAAUCUUGUAAUCCUUGAAGGACCACCAGUGGCGAAGGCGUCUCACCAGAACGGACCUGACGGCAAGGGACGAAAGCUAGGGGCACGAACCGGAUUAGAUACCCGGGUAGUCCUAGCUGUAAACGAUACUCGCUAGGUGUCGGCCACGGUGCGACCGUUGUCGGUGCCGUAGGGAAGCCGUGAAGCGAGCCACCUGGGAAGUACGGCCGCAAGGCUGAAACUUAAAGGAAUUGGCGGGGGAGCAC